rnacentral:rRNA from 1 species
AUGUGGUUUAAUUCGAUGAUACGCGAGGAACCUUACCUGGGCUCAAAUGUAUGUUGACGUAUUCUGAAAGGGAUACUUCUUCGGACAAUAUACAAGGUGCUGCAUGGUUGUCGUCAGCUCGUGCCGUGAGGUGUCGGGUUAAGUCCCAUAACGAGCGCAACCCCUAUCAUUAGUUGCCAUCAGGUCAAGCUGGGGACUCUAAUGAAACUGCCUACGCAAGUAGUGAGGAAGGUGGGGAUGACGUCAAAUCAGCACGGCCCUUACGUCCAGGGCUACACACGUGCUACAAUGGCCGGUACAAAGGGCAGCUACCUGGUGACAGGAUGCUAAUCUCAAAAGCCGGUCUCAGUUCGGAUCGGAGUCUGCAACCCGACUCCGUGAAGUUGGAAUCGCUAGUAAUCGUGGAUCAGCAUGCCACGGUGAAUACGUUCCCGGCCUU